rnacentral:ncRNA from 1 species
CCAACUGUAUCACCAGUUGACCCUAGGGCUCUGAAUAAAGCAGCGAGCCUGACAAUGUAACGAAGACGGGCCUGACAGUCUGUCGGGGACUAAAUCGUGAGACAAGGUCCUUCCUGAUAACCACAAAUUGGGUGAGUGC